ACGGAGGGGGCUAGCGUUGUUCGGAAUUACUGGGCGUAAAGCGCGCGUAGGCGGCUUUGCAAGUCAGAGGUGAAAGCCCGGGGCUCAACCCCGGAAUUGCCUUUGAGACUGCAUCGCUAGAACGUCGGAGAGGUAAGUGGAAUUCCGAGUGUAGAGGUGAAAUUCGUAGAUAUUCGGAAGAACACCAGUGGCGAAGGCGACUUACUGGACGACUGUUGACGCUGAGGUGCGAAAGCGUGGGGAGCAAACAGGA
rnacentral:rRNA from 1 species